AAGAGCUGUUCGACAGUGGAAUUUGCUGCCAAGGAGUGUGGUGGAGUCUCCUUCUUUGGAGGUCUUUAAGCAGAGGCUUGACAACCAUAUGUCAGGAGUGCUCUGAUGGUGUUUCCUGCUUGGCAGGGGGUUGGACUCGAUGGCCCUUGUGGUCUCUUCCAACUCUAUGAUUCUAUGAUUCUAUGAAACAAACAGAAGACUUCAGCGCAUAACUAUGAAAACUAUUAAACACAUCAGGAUUUCAACUCUCCCCCCUGCAGAAGGGCUCCUAGGCCUUCAACACCUGAUGAUCAACAGCACCUUCCAUCUCGAACUCUACGAUCGACAGGUGAGGCCCCAAGUUAGUGGCUAAAUAUCUCUGUUUGGUUUUUUGUCGUUGAAAUACACUGCAGACGUCUGAUCUCCCUGGAGACCAAGAGAUAAGACGA